ACGGGAGGCAGCAGUAGGGAAUCUUCCACAAUGGGCGCAAGCCUGAUGGAGCAACACCGCGUGAGUGAAGAAGGGUUUCGGCUCGUAAAACUCUGUUGUUGAAGAAGAACGUGCGUGAGAGUAACUGUUCAUGCAGUGACGGUAUUCAACCAGAAAGUCACGGCUAACUACGUGCCAGCAGCCGCGGUAAU
rnacentral:rRNA from 1 species